rnacentral:rRNA from 1 species
CCUACGGGUGGCCGCAGUGCGGAAUAUUGGUCAAUGGGCGGGAGCCUGAACCAGCCAAGUCGCGUGAGGGAAGACGGUCCUACGGAUUGUAAACCUCUUUUGCCGGGGAGCAACGGGGUCCUUGCGCGGGCCCACUGAGAGUACCCGGAGAACAAGCAUCGGCUAACUCCGUGCCAGCAGCAGCGGUAAUCCUGAGGAUGCGAGUGUUAUCCGGAGUUAUUGGGUUUAAAGGGAGCGUAGGCGGGCGGUGAAUGCAUCGGUCAAAGGUCCGGGCUCACUCCCGGCCUGCCGUUGAAACUGGCGGCCUAGAGUGGGCGAGAAGUAUGCGGAAUUCGUGGGGUAGCGGUGAAAUG